rnacentral:rRNA from 1 species
CUACGGGAGGCUCCAGUGGGGAAUAUUGGACAAUGGGGGAAACCCUGAUCCAGCAAUGCCGCGUGUGUGAAGAAGGCCUGCGGGUUGUAAAGCACUUUCGGUUGGGAGGACUGCUUCUAGCACUAAUAUUGUUGGAAGUUGACGUUACCUUCAGAAGAAGCACCGGCUAACUCCGUGCCAGCAGCCGCGGUAAUACGGAGGGUGCAGGCGUUAAUGAGAAUUACUGGGCGUAAAGCGCGCGUAGGCGGCUAGAUCAGUCGGGUGUGAAAGCCCCGGGCUUAACCUGGGAACUGCAUCCGAUACUGUCUAGCUUGAGUACAGGAGAGGAGAGUGGAAUUCCACAUGUAGCGGUGAAAUGCGUAGAUAUGUGGAGGAACACCAAUGGCGAAGGCAGCUCUCUGGCCUGAUACUGACGCUGAGGUGCGAAAGCGUGGGGAGCAAACAGGAUUAGAUACCCCAGUAGUC